UUCUGUGUCCACACUUCAAGACAAAACUAAGAUAUUAUUAAGUUUGGAAUUUCUCUAACCUCUAACUUGCCGUUUUUAUGAACGGCAUUUUAUAUGGCAAUAAAAUCAAUGGUAUACCAAUCCUUUUCUUAGUCAGACUCAGCAUCAAGGGAAAAUUUCACUGCAGAUACCAAAGAUUUUCUUUCUCAGGAAUAAACAGAGAACCCUCCAGCCAUGCCUUUUGGCUGUUAGCAUGGAUAAAGGUUAAUUGCCGCAUUUUUAUGUUUCUCUUUGUAAUUAAGAUUUGAGCCUUCAUUGCUUUUCAAUGCAGUUACUGGCAAUUGAAGUUAAUCUUUUUAAUCGUUGCAGGAAAAGGCAGGUGCUGUACUGCAAAUCCCACUUGAAAUGCACGGGGCUUCAGUAUUUGGAAACAUGCCUAUACCUAGGAGAAGGUGGAAUAACAUAUUUGGAGAAUAUGAAUGCUCCAGAUACUACAUCUGAAAGAAAUGAUUGCCAAAGUGCUCAAGAGAGGAAAUCUCCAGACUUAUCCGUAAGACUUUCCUCUUUGCCUUGGAAAAUUACCAAGCUGGAUAAUUUCUCAGGAGUCAGAUUUUCAGAACUGCACAAAGUACGUGGAGUGCUUCCCCAUCGCCUCCCUUUCACCUAUGUUUUCAACGUAAGCUGCACUUUUAAUGACUUUUUGUAA
rnacentral:lncRNA from 1 species